UGAUCAAGAAACUCUGUGUUUUCACUGUUUUCAUAGUUAAAAUUUUUCACAAUUGUUAACACACGUUUUUCAAAACAAUAACGGCUUUCUCAAAACUGCACACAGAAAACUGAAAACCUCACUCACAAAAUGCUAAACCUGACACUCCCUUUGCAAGAUGACUCUUUGAUAUCGAAUCUCUUACCUGUUCACAAAAUGAAACUCGUGUUUUCAUUUGGUACACACAGCCAUAUUUUCAAUUGACACACACAUACCAUUCAUUGAGUACACACAACUAAGCAUUUGCUUGCACACUACCAAGCAUUUACAGCACACUGUAGUGCAAAACUGAAAACACAAUCAUCACAAUGGAACACACCAUAUGAAUAACAGUGACUCUGGAGAAUGAGCCAUUUCUCCUUUUGUAAAAUGUCUCAGUGUAGGCCUACUUUUUUCAUAGUCAAACAUAAAACAGCACACAAAUAUGCAGCAUAAAAAGGUUUAUUUCGGCACACACAGAGAACAGUACUGUAAACCGGCCUAACAAUUGUUAACACACGUUUUUCAAAACAAUAACGGCUUCUCAAAACUGCACACAGGCAGCUGAAAACUUCACACACAAAAUGCUGACAGGCCUCGACACUCACGUCGCCACAAGCCUCCUCCAUGGCCUAGAGCAGUGGGACCCGGUCCUGUGGGUUCCGUUCAUAUUCCUUCCACCUCCAAGCUGAAAAUAAUUCCUCAAUAGGAUUCAGGAAAGGAGAAUAAGGUGGAAGGUAUAGAACGGAAAAAUUUGGGUGGUCCUGGAACCACUGACACACUUGAGCAGCCCGGUGGAAGCUCACAUUGUCCCAGAUGUGAACGUGAUCGAUCCGCUGUGGGUCAUCUAUCUGGCCAGUUGGUACCAGCAGGUCAUUCAGGCCAUCCAGGAAGACGAGGAGACGGGCAGCAUUAUAGACCCCUAGGUGGGCAUGACUGUGCAAGAUCCCAUGGUGAUUCAUUGCAGCACACAGUGUGAUGUUCCUGGGACACGCUGGCCGGGGACCUCAACAAUAUCCCGCUGGCCAAUGAGGUUUCUGCCCCGUCGACUCCUCUUCACCAGGUUGAAUCCCACCUCAUCAAUAAAGAUGUACUGGUACAACACAUUAGCUGUGUGAGGCUUUCUACCUCAAUAUUUUUUAUUUUAUUCUAUUGUAUUGUAUUUUACAGUUUUUUACGAUUGCAUAAACACUAAAAUCCAAAGUAUAACACAAUUAUCAAACCUGACACUCAAGGAGCAAAACAUGGCCCAGAUCUGCACCACUAUAAGCACAAUGUCAGCUUCACACUUUAUGCAAAACAAUACCCACAGUGAUCUGCAAAACACUAAACACACUUGUAUACAUUAAACACAGAAGGAUAUCAUGAUGUCACUUCCUUGCAAUUCCUAAGCACAGCCUGUCAAAUGACCACCCUAUUGGCCAAUUGGUUAAGCACAACAUGUUGAACCAUUUGGCGUUUAAACACAGCAUUGCUUAAUUGUAGAAACACCAAUCAGGUUUAAGCACUAUAGCAAUGCAGCAGCCUAGUUCACCUGUUUUCAACCAAAAUGCAGCUUGUGCUUAAAAAAGAAGAAGAGUGAGGGUGAGAGGGAGAAUCCUAGGAGGUGAAGAAGGCUGCGGCUGUGGCAUUAGUAAUGAUGGUGUGUGUGAUGUUGCAUACUGCACACAUAACUUUCAUAAUGUAAAUGUACUGUAUUCCAGACCUAUGCUGAACUACACAAUCUUGUCUUUCACUGUAUUUCUGAGUUUUACAGAUGGAUGAGGAAAUCGCAUGAAUUCAUAUACAUAGAUGAGGCAGGGUUCAUAUGACAAGAUCAAAAAGGAGAGGCAGAAAUAUCAUUGGCCACGGGGCUAUAAUCCAUGUCCCAGGAAAACGUGGGGGUAACAUCACCUUUUGUGCUGCCACUACACAGAAUGGGGUCCUCCUCCGUCACACCAACAUGGGCCCUUACAACACACCUCACAUUCUCACAUGUUUGGAUCGAUUACACAACAUCGUCACAGCAGUAAAUCACAUUCACCAGAUGCAAUCCAUUGUCAUCUGGAACAAUGAGUCAUUCCACCGCUCUGCUCUGGUCCAGAACUGGUUUCAACACCAUCAACAGUUUACAGUACCAUACCUUCCACCAUACUCGCCGUCUCUAAACCCAAUCAAAGAGUUUUUCUCGGCAUGACGGUGGAGGGUUUACGAUCUCCGGCCCCAGGCUCAGGUACCCCUCAUUGAAACUGUACUGGAUACAGAAUUUUCUGCUUGUCUGAUAUUUGUCGAGCUUACAGUGUUAUGCACACUCCUGUAGUAGCAGAAUUCAUUUUUCAUGAGUCUGCAGCAUUGGUCUUGUGUAGUGUUCGGUGAAUUUAUUGUAUAUUUGCACUUUCUCAGAGUACUUCACUUAUAGAACUCUAAUCACUAAGAACUGGAAUUGCUAAAAGUGUUUAAGGUAAUAACAGCAGUGUGUAACUGGCUAAAGCAGAAUUAAGUAAUAUGAAGCGUGUGUGUUUCAUAUGGCAAAAUAAUAUUGUUUUGAUAAAAAAGUGUAUAGUUUUUACAAGAGUGUUUAGUUUUGCAAAGGAUCUGAGGUGUUCUGCUGAUUGGGUGUGUGGUUGUGCUGAUUGUGUUUAGUGUUUGAAACACCGGGCCCUGUUUUGAAAAUCGUGCUUAAUCAAUCGAAAAAAACUGUAUUGUAUUCAAAUGUACCGGCUGCUAUGACGACUUAAUUUCCCUCGGGGAUGAAUAAAGUAAUCUAUCUAUCUAUCUAUCUAUCUCCUGGAUCAGCUCACACAGACAGCAUGAUAAUGCAAUGUACAGUAUGGACACAGAGAGGUCAACACAGUGGGCUACAGUGAGACACUGUAGAAAAGGAACAAUAUUGGAUUACAGGUACAAUACAUGCAUGUGUCAGUGCUGAAUGUUGGUACUUACAAGCACAAACUGUCACUGUAACUCCUUCAUGCCUGUGUUCCGUUCAAAUGGGACCCUGAACAUUUGUUUCAUUAGCAUGGCAUUCCUAUGAAGAAUACGCUCCAAUGUAGAGAGGCUGACGGUCUGGACAUUUCUAAAUGUAGCAUGGUCAGCCAGGAUACUAGUUUUUAUUUGUCUGAGUUUGAUAGAGUUGUUCUCACGAACCAUAUCUACAAUUUCAGUCUCCUGUUCGGCUGUGUAAAUGAGGUGAAAUUGCUCAACAGACCUGAAUGUUUAGAGAUUUGAGUAUUUGUGUGUUGUAGGUUGAUGCUUGGAGAUUUUACUUGAGAAGUGUGUGCAACAACUGAACAUUGUGUGUAGUCUUUUGACAACAAGGUGAUGUGUAAUUGACAUCAGAGUGUAAAGAAUGAAAGUCAGAGACUAAUGCAGAUAAGGGAGUGUGAAGUAGUGCCAAAUUGGGUUGAGUGAUUGGUACAUGAAGUGAAGGUUGUGCAAAUUGUGCCGAAUCUUAGCUUUUUGUGUGUUAACAACUGAUUAAAACUGUAAGAAAGCAUUAUCCAUAAUGGCUGGAGUGAACAGGGGAUUAGAGUAAACAGAAGGCAGACCAGGUAUGAAAAAAUGUUGUUUAAAUUGUGUCCAGAUUUUAAGACAGUUUGUCACAACAACACUGUCUGAUUGCACAUAUGCUGAAAUUGUUGUGGGGAAGCACAGGAGGGACAUCAGAGAUGAUAAACCACAUGAGGCCUCCUCAACCUGUAGCCAGGCUGGGGGUUGGUCAUUAGUGCAACAGCUGUCAGGCCUGGACUAGAAUGAGGACUGAGAUGCAGAGGAUUCACGUGCCAGCACACUUUAUUGAAAUCAGUUCCUCUAUGCAGAGUGACAAAAGAUCGGGCUACUAAUUCAGAUGUUUAUGGAGCAAUAUGCAGUCGCAGAUGCCUGGCGCUUUCUCAACCCUAGUACUAAACAGUUUUCUUUCUUUUCUCCUGUCCAUGGCACAUUCUCCCUUAUUGUUAAUUUUCUCAUUGAUAGCAAACUCCUAACAUCUGUUAGUUCAAGCUCCUACAAUCCCAUUGUGAUAUCUGACCAUGCAACAGUGGUUGUCAACAUCUCUCUUCCUGGUAGAUCUAUGAAACGCUCUCCCUGGCGCUUUAAUUCUAGAUUGCUUUCUGACCCAAACUUUCUUUUGACUAUUAAGAACCGCAUAGAUCUUUAUAUCUCUACCAAUGUUAACCUAGAUACAUAGGCAGCAGCCGUCUGGGAGGCAUGCAAAGCUUACCUGAGAGGAGAGAUAAUAUCUUACUCAGCUUAUAAGACAAAGAUCACCUCAGAGAAAAGUGCACGCCUUGAUAGAGAUAUAUCAGAACUUCAGUCUAAAUGUGUGGACUCACCCAAUGCAGAUCUUUCAAAAGAAUUACUCUUUGCUUCCAACGAAGCUGCAGAGUCACUAUUGAAAUCACGUCAUAAAUAUUAUGAGUUUGGAGAUAAACGUAGUAAACUGCUUGCACACCAACUCCGACAAGCAUCUUCAUCACAACAUAUAACUCAGAUCAGUUCUAAAGAUGGGACAACUAUUGACCCACAGGUGAUUAAUAACCAUUUCAGAGACUUCAAUGCCAAAUUAUACACCUGUGAAUGCGUGGCGGAUGAGAAACAAUAUGACGUUUUUUUAACUCUUUAGAGAUUCCCUCCAUUGACAGCGCAACAUCAUCUAGACUGGAUGAACCCUUUUCGUUUGGUGAACUCAGUAGUGCUUUAAUACUGAUGCAGAGUGGUAAAUGCUCAGGCCCAGAUGGUCUCCCGGCGGAAUUUUAUAAAACAGGGGAAUAAUGAUUGACUACAGCAAAAGUCCUGUUGCCACUAUAGUCCACAGUCAUUGUCCACUGCCGCCAAUUAGGAUCCAUCAACAGCUGCCACCUCUGUCAUGAUGCCAACGCGAUAAAGGAGCCGCCACUAUUUUUACGAUCAGCCCGCACGAUAUAGAAUCCACUAUACUGGAUCCACCAUUGCGACCUCUGAUACGCGAUCCACAAAUUGCAAUCCAUGAUGUGGCCACAGCUGCAGCCCUGGAUCUGCGGACGAUAAGGCAAAGGGACUCUGGGGAAGGGGUCAAGUCAGUAACAUGUAUUGAUGAGAUAUGAAUUACUUUUAGGUGAUAAGGAUGGAGAAGAGAAAGGAGAAGCUGGAAAGAGAAGCUCCGUGUGUCAUAAAUUCCCUUGGCAUCAUCAGGUGUUUUUGCCUUGUUAUCAAUGAUACAAUGAUGCAGGCCGAACUUGAGGGUACACUGAGUAACAAUGAGGAACAUUGUCUUAUAUAUGAUACAUUUAUAUCAUUAACAUUAUCUUAUCAGAAUCUUAUGGCAUUGACCUUGUCAAGCAAUUCCAGGGGAAUAAUGAUUGACUACAGUAAAAGUCCUGUUGACUGAUUUAGUGUUUUUAAUCUUUAGAAUACACACAAACUUGUUCCUUCUGAGUUUCUUUUUCUUUGUGGUAUCAAAUAAACAUAGAAAUCCACUAGUAGAAAGAACCUUUCUUCAAGUGCUCUUUUGGAGUUAAAGUUUUUGUGCCUUUUAAAAACUGAUAUACAUAUUUGAGAUCAUUAACAACCAUCAACUAUUUUCCAUUUAAGUGUAGUGAAUGACCUCGACAUGUUAACAGUCACUUUGAAAAAAACUCUGACACAUGUAACGCGUGACCUGACACAGUCAAACACAAAAUGGAAAGAGAAGCAAACCCACCACAACUAAACAGAAAUCAACCACAAAGAUAUUAUAAACUACAAAGAGAUACAAUACUUUUGUAGUGCUUCUACACAUUCAUUGGGUAUCAUGCAUGUCUACCGUCCCAAAAACUCUGGAAAAAAAUAACUUUGUUGUGGUUCCUCUAUUUCAGAAACUAUAUGCUAGAGUGCCUCCAAUGGGAUUACGACGAAAUAGACGCCAUAGUCGCAACAUGCCCAUGCCCCCAUAGAUCUAUGCACUCCCCCACUACCACUCGACCCACCCAUAGAUGGACCAACCCACUUUUUAGACAGUCUAUCGGUGUCCGGCCGCCAUUUCAUUCUUGCAAGUCUUGGGAACACUUAAUGGCUAACUAGCAGCAUGAAUCGUAUUCGACAACCGAGAUGCUCAGUGGUCGGCUGCACAAAUCAGCACAAAUGUCUUCAUGUUACUCCAGCUUCAGAAGACAAAAGAUUGAGAUGGAUUGAGUUCAUAUAUGAUGGCAACGUUCCUGCAAGAGUUGGCAAAUAUCUGUAUAAUGCCGGAUUCUCGAAAAGGUUGUUAUUGAAAGAGGGGUUCGUGCCAUCUUUCCAUCGCAAUGCUGAAGACGAGGGAAAUGUAAGUAUUUUUUUUAUAAUUCUGGUAUUUGCUUCUUUUAGACAUUUUGUGUGGAGGCUAGUGACGUUAGCAUGUUGUGGCGUGUGUGAGGGGGUGGGGGGCUAGUAUGUAGUGGUUGGGGAUAGGUAGAGACUUUACAGGAGUUUUCAUGUUUGACUAUUAAUAUUGUUAUUGAACAGUUAAUCGUGGACAGCUAGUUUGUGAGUGUUGUGCUCUCCACGCUCUUUUCUCCCCCUCCGCUCGAGUGUCCUCCCGUGAGUACUGUGCCGCAGAUUUUUUUCCACGGCAGCUGGAAGCCUCGCGCAAGAUACCGGAGGAUGUUGUUGUCAUAAUGUGCGGGACUAGAACAAUUAUUCAUUACCAGCCCUAGUUGGGAGAAAUGUGUUCUUGUAUCUUUGUAUUUAUGACAGUAGUACAAACAUGAAUAACAUUGCUGCUUUUGGUGUUUAGGCAAGCACAUCUGUUCACAGUGCUAGGCUACAUCACGUAGCAUGCCAGACGGACCCACCAAAGAUGCGCACACAUGGCACGCAGCUUUCUAUGAAAACAGUGCGACCUCACUACAAAAGUACAGGCACACAGAAAACUGUACUGCACUGAUGUCGGUGUUGGGACCUCAGCUGUAAGAGACCUCGCUUGGAGGAGGGAGAGGACCAGUGUUGCCACAGUUACUUUGAAAAAACUCACUUUAGUAGAUGCCGCCGGAGGGUUCCCCCAGCGGGCGCCGUAGCUGAGGUGAUCCUUGAGACCGGACCGACACGCGUCCAGAGUCGCUGCCGCCAACCGCUGUACCCGGUCCCCACCUUCCGCACCGCCGACGGAUACCGCCCUGCGGCCCAAGAGCACGAAAGCCCCCGCACCAGCAAUCCGUGAGACACCGCGGACGAGGACCCCCCCACCCCUAAAAAAAAAUAAAACAUCGAGGCGUGCCGCACAACGAGCCUCCGGCGGCGUGGAGAGGAGGGCGACAGGGUGACUACUCCACCAGCCGCGGCACGUGCCCAGCGAUUUAACCACAAACACCAAAAUAGUAACGCAAAGUGACUUGGACAAGUAACUUUAAUCUGAUUACUGGUUUGGAAAUAGAAAUGCGUUAGAUUACUCGUUACUGAAAAAAGUCGUUACUAAGUAACGCGCUACUGGCAUCACUGGAGAGGACAACCCAAGUUGUUCAAGUAUGGACUUUGGAGAGCCACAGGAUGCUACCUUUGAUCCUGAUGACUCGAUCACAGUCUUGACUGAGUCAGCAGUGACGUGAGUGAUUCAAUAUUUAAUCUAAACAUUUCAAUAAUCAGAUGGAUUACCAUCCUACACUUUUUUAGCUGUUGCAGCCUUUUGGUGAAAUCUUUGUCUUUCUAAUAGAAUGGAAUCUUCCAACCCUGUUCAUAAGACACCCACAUAUAUUGUCUAUGAAAACUGCCUCCUGGAGCUGUUUGAGGUGUGUCCUGUGUGUCGGCGGGGGACAGAUGUAAUAUAUAAGAAGGGCGAGUGCUAAGCAAAGCAAGAAAAUAAUAAAUAAAAAAAAGUGCAAAAUGUCCAACUUUUUUUCCCAAUUUGUAUUACAAAUUACGAGGAUAACCUGUUGGAGCUCAUCUUACACAAGGUUUUUCAGGACCCGGCCCCAUAUGUGAAUGAGGUGCUGAAGAUCUCAAUACCCGAGGAUCUCUCUGCCAAGUAUGAGAAACCUGACAAGCAGGAAGUUAUAGCCAGCUAUGUGAGCAUCAGGGAUCACUCUGCGUAUCUGGAGCACCACGCAGGAGGGCAGGACCACCCUGCAUUGUAUUUAGAGAAUAAAAGAUGACAAACAAAUAUAAAGUGUUCCUUUGUUUACAGUAUGGCUACUGAUGGCACAAAGUGUAUUUUUGUAAUCAAUGUUUUUAUUAUACUUGGUAUUUUUUUGUAUUUAUUACCUCUGUCCCAGCCAGUACAUUUAAUAACUGUUUAAAAAGCUCUGUGGCAUUGUUUCUAGCAAUCUUUCUGACAAUAAAAGUGUAUAGAAACA